UGGGGAAUAUUGGACAAUGGGCGCAAGCCUGAUCCAGCCAUGCCGCGUUAGUGAUGAAGGCUCUAGGGUUUUAAAGCCCUUUCUCCGGUGAAGAUAAUGACGGUAACCGGAGAAGAAGCCCCGGCUAACUUCGUGCCAGCAGCCGCGGUAAUACGAAGGGGGCUAGCGUUGUUCGGAUUUACUGGGCGUAAAGCGCACGUAGGCGGACUUUUAAGUCAGGGGUGAAAUCCCGGGGCUCAACCCCGGAACUGCCUUUGAUACUGGAAGUCUUGAGUAUGGUAGAGGUGAGUGGAAUUCCGAGUGUAGAGGUGAAAUUCGUAGAUAUUCGGAGGAACACCAGUGGCUAAGGCGGCUCACUGGACCAUUACUGACGCUGAGGUGCGAAAGCGUGGGGAGCAAACAGG
rnacentral:rRNA from 1 species